AUGAACGCUGGCGGCGUGCCUCAUACAUGCAAGUCGAGCGAACGGACGAGAAGCUUGCUUCUCUGAUGUUAGCGGCGGACGGGUGAGUAACACGUGGAUAACCUACCUAUAAGACUGGGAUAACUUCGGGAAACCGUAGCUAAUACCGGAUAAUAUUUUGAACCGCAUGGUUCAAAAGUGAAAGACGGUCUUGCUGUCACUUAUAGAUGGAUCCGCGCUGCAUUAGCUAGUUGGUAAGGUAACGGCUUACCAAGGCAACGAUGCAUAGCCGACCUGAGAGGGUGAUCGGCCACACUGGAACUGAGACACGGUCCAGACUCCUACGGGAGGCAGCAGUAGGGAAUCUUCCGCAAUGGGCGAAAGCCUGACGGAGCAACGCCGCGUGAGUGAUGAAGGUCUUCGGAUCGUAAAACUCUGUUAUUAGGGAAGAACAUAUGUGUAAGUAACUGUGCACAUCUUGACGGCACCUAAUCAGAAAGCCACGGCUAACUACGUG
rnacentral:rRNA from 1 species